UGAUGAGCCCCUCAAGCCUUCUGGACGAAACGACUUUUUCAAUGGACAACACAAUAUUAUGAAUAGAGGACUCAUUUCUUAAAAAAGUGCAGUUUUACUUCUCAAAAUAUGGACUGAUGGACUGAGGGAGAUGCAUUUUCCAGCACUGGCGGUUGAUUUACACAGCAGAUGACCAGCCAUCCAUGAAAUAUGUAACUCCCUCCAACUAAAGGACUACUACAACAAGCACCAUGAUCAAACUGAGCUUGUGCCAAAAACCUGAGAGACAUUAGGCUAAAGAUGAAUUUAUCAUACAAGUUUUCAGAAUGUAAGUGAACAUGAGAAGUUACAUCCUGGACCACUGGCUCAACACAUCCACAACAAGAAAGAUUUAGAAACUAGAACUAUUGCAUCUUCACCAUCAUCGCAGUUAACAGGCCAGCUGAAAAGCAGCAGAGAUUUACAGAUCAGGCAAGUAAUACUUCUCAGAUCUAAGGAAGACUCCAGUAGGACAUCUGAAGAACAGAGGAAAUCUGCCAGAUUCACUUCCACCAUCUCUAUCAGUCUUCCUAAUAGAAGAAACAAAAAAGACACGGCGGUGGAAAAAACACUGCAUGCUACAACUAACCUUUACAGCACACAUGAAGCCGUAAAAAACACAGCUAAUCAAAACCACACAGAGCUAAGAGACGUGCUUUCACCAACUGAGCAAUGUGGUGAAUCAACUGGUGAAUUCUUUAAGAAUAGGGAUGGGCCAAAAGCAAGCUUUGAUGAAGACAGUUUUACCACUCUGCAUCAACAUGGACAUAACACACCAAAACAGGGACAAAAUACAGGAAUACAACACAACAUAGGCCUUCAUGAACAAACGCAAAUUGUCUACAACGGCUCACAAAGACAUUCUACUCAACCUGUUUGUAAGGUUCAAACAGAAUUCAACAAGGAAUCUGGAGCCAGCGACUGUAGAAAGAAUGCUGCAACAACUCCACAGUACCACAGUAAUCUGACCUCCUUUGAAGUGGACAAUGGUCUAAAAGCAAGCACUGAUUCCCAGUUUUUUGCACACCAUUCAGAAGUAGUAAACCAGGUCUUGCCAUUAGACUCUUUUCCUGCUCCUCAUUCUGAAAGUACCCCUGAGCCAGAACCUGGUCUUAACAAUCCUACAUCAACUAUGUUGACAUCAGCCCUGGUCUCAGUUCUUGCUCCACCUUGGAGUGGCCGUCUUCGAAGACCCAAGCAAGGCGGCAGCGAAGUACAGCAUGAACCCCAAGAUUGUGCACAGAAUGUCAACCCAUCUACCUUAUUUCGCCAGGAUCAGCACCAACAACCAUUUCUUCCUUCCCAGAGGCAACCAUCUGAACACAUGUUGGCCAAUGACAAUGACAUGCAGUUGACUGCAGGAACCAGCUGUAACUCUCCUGACUGGCAAAAAGAGAACAAUUCCCCAAACAUCACAACCACAAUACAGCCAAAGAGACCCAUUAUUAAAUCCUCCUCUGUGGGCAUGAUGUACAAUAAUACAGAUUUGCAUCCUUUUCCCACACCUCUGGACACUCAUCAGGUACCAAAUUUGGCCCAUUCAGGGUACAGAAUAUCAAAAACUGGAGAUGAACAUCAGCCUUUCAAAUCAUUGAGCUCUAAGCCAACAACAAGCACCCUACUUCUUUCCUUGAGGAGGUCAAAUUUGAGAAGCUCCAGUGCUGAGCCCACACAAUCACAGACUCCGAUGACUAGGUCUGUCAGGUCCCUUACAUUGCCUAGCAGAGUUGUUUUGAAAACUCCGUCAUUUGCCCAUUCUGUUACCGCUGAUGACCAAACCCCCAAAGACACUCCUGCAAGAACAGAGGAAAUACCAGUCAGUCAGUUCCCUUUCUCACAUGGAAUUAAGAGUAGAGUGCCAUUAAGGAAAUCACUGUUUCUAAACAAACCAGAGACGGCAAUUUCAAAGAGACUAGAAGCUUCUGUUGCCAGAGUAGAGGAGGAACGUUUCCCAAUGUCCACAACCAAAACCGGCCAACUUGGGGUUCUCAGAGCUCAACAGAGCUCUUAUUCAGUGUUUUCGAGGAAAUAUUCCAGUACAGAGGACAUAGAUCUAGUGGAACUAAAUGCUGCCAACAACAACAACCUGCAAAACUCCAGUAUGACCAGACAAAAAGUAACUCCAGAUACCACAUUUUCUCCCAAAGUUUUAACAAAUUUUAAUGUUCAACAAUCUGGCUUUAAUGUUCAAAAAUUUAAAUCACAAAGUACACACAAUAUAAUAGCCAGUAGUUCAUCAGGCACAAGCACCUUCACAGACAGGCUUAACUACUCACCAAGGAAAGACUCUUCUGUAGAUGGAACAAGUCCCACAAAUGUGGGGCAGAUAUAUCUGGACUCUAAGAAAUAUUCUCAGUCAAGUCAAAGCACAAUGGAUCUUUCGAGCCUUCUUUCUCCAAGCAGACCUCUCAGAAGUGUAAGAGUACCAAGCAUUUAUUCAUACCUAAGGGAGUCCAGCUCAGCUAUGUCCACCCCUUUCCCUUCUACCCCUUCUUCCCACAUACAGAAAGGUGAAACAUUGCCUCCUGAGCAAAAUGGAGGUGGAACACUACAGGGUGACCGGAAAACACUUCCUUCAAGAUUUUCAUUUGACUUUGUACCACAGGUAGAAGCAUUACAAAGAAGCUCUUAUGGCUCCAGCUCUCAUAUAGCACCAGCUCAAUCUCUGCCUCCUGAUUUUGGACGAAGAUCAGCACCUCGUCUCAGCACUUCUCCAUAUUCUAGCCUCAUCUCCUCACGACCUACACUCAACAACACUUUACAAGAACUAUCCUCUCCACCUGUGUCCAAAACUCAUACCCGAACUACAUCUUAUGAUAUUGUAACCACUCCUGCAGACUUCAUUAAAGUUGAUCCAAUCUCUUCACUGUCCACAUACACAAGUAUAAUAAGAAGACCAAAGGAACAGUUAGCUUCUCCUAACAGAAAACAGAGGACAGCAGUUCAAGAUCAUACAAGCGCCCUAGAUAAUCACAAACCUGCCCAGCCAUGCCUCUUACAAGCUGCACCAGAUGCAAGUUUUUUCAUGGAAAGCCAAAGCUCAAAUAUAAGCCCACACCCA
ensembl:lncRNA